rnacentral:lncRNA from 1 species
CCCAGGGAGGUUAUGAGAAGGUGGAAGCAAAGAUUGGGGUGUGCAGUGACAAACCAAAGAAAAGCAAUGAUUGCCUAGGAUUGACAUCCAGCAGGUGCUUGAGGAAUGUUUGGCAAGGACAUAGAGUGAGAAUAUAAGUGAAACUGGAUGAGAUGGUGGUUACUUUUAAUGUCCUUGUUCCCCGUCUCCUCCACCAGUGACUACAGAGCCACACCCCUCCCGCCAGUCCUUCACGUCCUUCCACCUCCGACUCUACAGCCCCACUUCUGCGUCUCCUGUGCACUACAGACCAGAGAUCGAGAAGGCUGGUGGCGAGUAGUGCGCCCCCUGCUGGGACGUGUGCCCGGCUGGGUGCCUGUGACAUCUGUGGCGCCCCGAGCCCUGCUCCGCAGCAUCGGGAUCUGGGGGAGAAACCAUAAAGACAAAAACCGAAGAAAUCUGGGCCACAGGAACAAUAUCUUACCUUGGAUAUCAUCUGAGAAUACUCUGACAACUGGUUUGUGAAGCACUUGCAGACCGUAAGCAGACUUUCAAAAUUCCUG